UGGGGAAUAUUGCACAAUGGGCGCAAGCCUGAUGCAGCAACGCCGCGUGAGUGAAGAAGUAUUUCGGUAUGUAAAGCUCUAUCAGCAGGGAAGAAAGGCUCUUCGGAGAGAUGACGGUACCUGACUAAGAAGCCCCGGCUAACUACGUGCCAGCAGCCGCGGUAAUACGUAGGGGGCAAGCGUUAUCCGGAUUUACUGGGUGUAAAGGGAGCGCAGACGGCAGUGCAAGUCUGAUGUGAAAGCCCGGGGCUCAACCCCGGAACUGCAUUGGAAACUGUACAGCUUGAGUGUCGGAGAGGUAAGCGGAAUUCCUAGUGUAGCGGUGAAAUGCGUAGAUAUUAGGAGGAACACCGGUGGCGAAGGCGGCUUACUGGACGAUUACUGACGUUGAGGCUCGAAAGCGUGGGGAGCAAACAGG
rnacentral:rRNA from 2 species